UACGAAGGGAGCUAGCGUUGUUCGGAAUCACUGGGCGUAAAGCGCACGUAGGCGGAUUUGUAAGUCAGGGGUGAAUCCCAAGGCUCAACCUUGGAACUGCCUUUGAUACUGGGGAUCUCGAGUCCGGAAGAGGUUGGUGGAACUGCGAGUGUAGAGGUGAAAUUCGUAGAUAUUCGGAGGAACACCAGUGGCGAAGGCGGCUCACUGGUCCGGUACUGACGCUGAGGUGCGAAAGCGUGGGGAGCAACAGG
rnacentral:rRNA from 1 species